rnacentral:sRNA from 1 species
GGCUUUUUAAAAAAAAAUCUUUUUGGCUAUUUCAGGUUUGCUUGAUGAAAUAUAUGUUUUUAAAAAAAAAUAUUAUAUUUUUCUUAGAAGUAAACUGAAUCUAAACGAAUCUAAACAUAUCGAACCUGUGACAUCUACUGUCCCUUGAACACAAUAGUUCAAGAGACAGUAGAUGUCACAGAUACGACGUCUUUUAAGUUGUUUAGAUUCGUUUUUGUAAAGUCUAUCCAUGUGGCAUCCUAGUCAGCUACAUUAACGGUUUAACUAACGGCAUCUAUUGAUUUGUUGGUUUCAGCCAUAUUUUGAUUGUUUAUGUAGUAAAUUCAAAUUAUAAGUUAGUUCAUAUAGUUAAAAGCAUACUUCAAAGUUCUAUGUAUGGAUACGAUAAAGUAACUAAGUUUGGAGUGGAAUAGACCGUUCUCCCGCUCUUUUGCAGCCUACUUUGAGAUGAAUAUAAACCACAGCAUGAUGAUGAAAACCAUCGCCAUCCACAAGCUUGCGGUGUCUUGAAGGCCGGCCGGAACAUAAAACCCAGCGAAUAGAUGCUUUUUUUUUU